UACGGAGGAUGCGAGCGUUAUCCGGAUUUAUUGGGUUUAAAGGGUGCGUAGGCGGGUUAUCAAGUCAGCGGUAAAAUCGUGGAGCUCAACUCCAUCCAGCCGUUGAAACUGGCUGGCUUGAGUUGGGGAAAGGCAGGCGGAAUGCGCGGUGUAGCGGUGAAAUGCAUAGAUAUCACGCAGAACCCCGAUGGCGAAGGCAGCAUACCGGCGCUCAACUGACGCUGAGGCGCGAAAGUGCGGGUAUCGAACAGG
rnacentral:rRNA from 1 species